rnacentral:rRNA from 1 species
AACGAACGCUGGCGGCAGGCUUAACACAUGCAAGUCGAACGGACGUAGCGAUACGUUAGUGGCAGACGGGUGAGUAACGCGUGGGAAUUUAACUAGAGGCACGGAACAACUCAGGGAAGCUUGAGCUAAUACCGUAUAUACCCUUUAUUGGGGAAAGAUUUAUCACCUUUAGAGGAGCCCGCGUUGGAUUAGCUUGUUGGUGAGGUAAUGGCUCACCAAGGCGACGAUCCAUAGCUGGUCUGAGAGGAUGAUCAGCCACACUGGGACUGAGACACGGCCCAGACUCCUACGGGAGGCAGCAGUGGGGAAUCUUGGACAAUGGGCGCAAGCCUGAUCCAGCCAUGCCGCGUGAGUGAUGAAGGCCUUAGGGUUGUAAAGCUCUUUCAGUGGGGACGAUAAUGACGGUACCCACAGAAGAAGCCCCGGCUAACUCCGUG